ensembl:lncRNA
GUUUGCAGAUUAGAUUCACAUGAAGACUUAGCUCCCUCUCUGCUCCUGCUAAGUCUAAGGAAUGCAAAUUUUGCCUUUGCAAAAAUUAACAUCAUGCUCCUAGCAAGAAAGCAGGUGACAAGCUCAGCAGCUCUGCUUCAGUUUGUUUUUCUCCAUGGCAGGAACAUGUGCCCCUGAGUGGGCACUGUUAGUGGAAUCGGUAGGAACGCAAAUGCAAAGGCAGGGAGAUAAAGGUGAGUCAGGAAGGAGAAAGCGGCACUUGGGGGCAGAACAGAACACCAAAAAAGCCAGGUGAUGGAAACAAGGCAAACCAUCAUUAGCCCAAGUUAACAGAAGCAAGUUGACUCAUGCAGCCGUGGGAAAAGCUAAGGUUGCUUGCAUGGACAUGGUGAGUCAUCUAAUGUGUAAGUCAAGCUACCAGCUAUAAUUAAUCUUGUACGUGGACACAAAGUCGAGUAUUUUGAACAUGAGCUAAUGAGAUUGACCUGUAGGAUCAUGCAGCUCUAACAGCUGAGUAGGCAAAUCAAGGAUAAAGGAAAAAGCUGGGGGUGCCCUUGGGCAGUCCCUUUCUUUGUGGCCUGUGCAUUUGCCUGUGUGGUGCUCUCUGUGGGAUGCAGGCUGAGCUGGAUGAAAUUUGCCCCACCCACGCUGCCCUCAAGUUGCUCCUUAUUUAUAGUACUAUUCCAGGAGGAUGUCUUCUGCAGUACAAGUACGUGAGAAGAAAGCUGUCUGUGACGAGACGGGCCCUCACUCUGAAUCUGCCAGUGCCUUGAUCUUGGCCUUCCCAGCCUCCGGAAUUGUGAGAUAUAAAUUUCUUUUAUUCAUAAGCCACCCUGUUGUAUUUUGUUACAGUAGAUUAAACAGACUAAGAUGCCAUCCCAACUUCAGAGACUGCAAAAAGGCAAAAAAAAAAAUGUUUAAAGUGAUGAACUUUGGUAUUAAAACUGAUAACUCAGUGUAUGGAGUUCUAACUAAAUGGCAGACCCUGUUCUGA